rnacentral:rRNA from 1 species
AGUGAACGCUGGCGGCAGGCCUAAUACAUGCAAGUCGAACGGCAGCACAGCAGAGCUUGCUCUGUGGGUGGCGAGUGGCGGACGGGUGAGGAAUACAUGGGAAUCUGCCCAGUCGUGGGGGAUAACGUAGGGAAACUUACGCUAAUACCGCAUGCGCCCUUCGGGGGAAAGCCGGGGACCUUCGGGCCUGGCGCGAUUGGAUGAGCCCAUGUCGGAUUAGCUAGUUGGCGGGGUAAUGGCCCACCAAGGCGACGAUCCGUAGCUGGUCUGAGAGGAUGAUCAGCCACACUGGAACUGAGACACGGUCCAGACUCCUACGGGAGGCAGCAGUAGGGAAUAUUGGACAAUGGGCGCAAGCCUGACCCAGCCAUGCCGCGUGAAGGAAGACGGCCUUAGGGUUGUAAACUUCUUUACUAUGCGACUAACUAGAUUUACGAGAUAAUUCUAUAGAAUGUAGCAUAGCAAAAAGCACCGGCUAACUA